rnacentral:rRNA from 1 species
GGAGGAUCAUUACCUAGAGUUGUAGGCUUUGCCUGCUAUCUCUUACCCAUGUCUUUUGAGUACCUUCGUUUCCUCGGCGGGUCCGCCCGCCGAUUGGACAAUUUAAACCAUUUGCAGUUGCAAUCAGCGUCUGAAAAAACUUAAUAGUUACAACUUUCAACAACGGAUCUCUUGGUUCUGGCAUCGAUGAAGAACGCAGCGAAAUGCGAUAAGUAGUGUGAAUUGCAGAAUUCAGUGAAUCAUCGAAUCUUUGAACGCACAUUGCGCCCCUUGGUAUUCCAUGGGGCAUGCCUGUUCGAGCGUCAUUUGUACCUUCAAGCUCUGCUUGGUGUUGGGUGUUUGUCUCGCCUCUGCGCGUAGACUCGCCUCAAAACAAUUGGCAGCCGGCGUAUUGAUUUCGGAGCGCAGUACAUCUCGCGCUUUGCACUCAUAACGACGACGUCCAAAAGUACAUUUUUACACUCUUGACCUCGGAUCAGGUAGGGAUACCCGCUGAACUUAAGCAUAUCAAUAAGCGGAGGAAAAGAAACCAACAGGGAUUGCCCUAGUAACGGCGAGUGAAGCGGCAACAGCUCAAAUUUGAAAUCUGGCGUCUUCGGCGUCCGAGUUGUAAUUUGCAGAGGGCGCUUUGGCAUUGGCAGCGGUCCAAGUUCCUUGGAACAGGACGUCACAGAGGGUGAGAAUCCCGUACGUGGUCGCUAGCCUUUACCGUGUAAAGCCCCUUCGACGAGUCGAGUUGUUUGGGAAUGCAGCUCUAAAUGGGAGGUAAAUUUCUUCUAAAGCUAAAUACUGGCCAGAGACCGAUAGCGCACAAGUAGAGUGAUCGAAAGAUGAAAAGCACUUUGGAAAGAGAGUUAAAAAGCACGUGAAAUUGUUGAAAGGGAAGCGCUUGCAGCCAGA